rnacentral:lncRNA from 1 species
UCUUGCAUUUAUUUCUCAAGAAUUACUGGCUUUAAAAGAAGCCAAAGCACUACUAGCUUUUUUUCCAUAUUGGUAUUUUUGAUGCUGCUUCCAAUUUUAAAAGGGAACAAAGCUGCCAUAAAUCAAAAUUUUCAAUACUAAAAGUAAAAUAUUUCUCACCAUCCUAAGCAGAGAAUUAUUUUAAUUUUCAUAUACUUUUCCUGUAUAGUAACUAUUUUGAUUAUAUCAUCAGUGUUACCUGUUUCCUCUUUCAGAACAGUGCUGCAUAUACAGAUUGUUAUUGGCAAAGGAAAAUCUGGCUAUCUGGCAAUAUUUUACCUAAAGGCAGAUUAAUUGGUGAAAAAAUUAACUCUUAAGAUGGCCAUUAAUAAUUAGGAAAGUUUACAGAGUGGUCUUAGUAGAAAAUUCAAGUCCUCCUAAUUUAUUUAAGGUUAAAUAAUGUGUUCAACAUGCCUAUUAUGUAUAAUGCUUAGGUUCUAAGGAAGAUUAAGGUUUCAUACCAAAAUACAUGUAGCUUAUCUUUUAGGAAGGGGAAAAAGGCUCUGUUUUGACCAUAGUAAAAUUUGUAUUGUAUUUUAUUUCCUUUUCUUAAGCUCCACUGAUAAGGGAUUGUUUUUAUCAAAAGUUACUAUUUGUAGAUUGGAGGCAUAAUUUUAAAGAUUUUCAUACUUUUAGCUUUCUUCGCAUAAAAGCUAAUUGAAACCGUGUAUGUAGCAAAAUUAAAGGCAGAGCUGUUGCAGUUGAAUUGGAGAGUCAGGGCAAAGAACACUUAUUAGCCCACACUUCCCACCUUUCUACAGGUGGUCCUUUCAGAGCUCAGCCUGAAAACCUACUACUGUGUUAUCGUGGGUCUUUUGGGGUUAGUGGUUCUUUUGAGAAUCUGAAGGAAGCUGUGGACUCUUCCCAGAAAAAAAAAACAAAAAAAAAUCAACACAUACACAUACAAUGUUGGAUGCAGUUUCAAGGGAUUUUGGACAUAUUGAAACCUAUCACAGGCUCUAGGUUAUGGACAUCUGUCCCAUGAGAAAAUUGAUACAUUAAACUAAGAACUUUGUUUUUAACUUACCAAUCACUACUCAGCGCAUCUUAUAUAAGCUGAUAGUUUGUGAUGGAAAAGGUCUGUAGCAUGUGAUAUAAGGUGACCUUAUGAAUGCCUCUCUUGCUGGUACAUUAAGUUGUUUUAAAUAUAUCAUUUGGAGGGGACUGAAAUGUUGGGCUCAUUACAAGCUUGAUACAGAAAUAUUUCUGAAGGAUUUCUAAUCAGAAUUGUAAAACAAUGUACUAUCAUGAAAUGGCAGUCUUCACCUCAUGCUUCGUGGAACAUUUGGUUAGUCCCAUAAAAUCCUAUGCAAAACAUAGUAGUUCAAGAAUUUUUAGGUGGGUACUCACAUUUAUAAGGUAUUCCUCUUACUCUUUGGGCUUUUUCAGUGUGAUUUAUUUAAAUUUUCAUUUAGUUGUUUUACUUUUGGACUAAGGUGCAAUACAGUAGAAAAUAACUUUGUUACAUUUAUGUUGUAGGAAAACUAAGGUGCUGUCUCCUCCCCCUUCCCUUCCCACAAAAUCGUAUUCCCCCUAUUGCUGAAAUGUAACAGACACUACAAAUUUUGUAUUCUUUUUUUGUUUUUUGUUUUGAGACAGGGUCUCACUCUGUCACCCAGGCUGGAGGGCAGUGGCGCUUCACAGCUGACUGCAUCCUCAACCUUGGGGGCUCAUGCCAGUCUUCCCGCCUCAACCUCCCAAGUAGCUGGGCAUCCGCCACCAAGCCCAGCUAAUUUUUGUAUCUUUAGUAGAGAUGGGGUUUCGCCAUGUUGCCCAGGUUGGUGUGGAAUUCCUGGGCUCCAGUUAUAUGCCCACCUCAGCCUCCCAAAGUGCUGGGAUUACAGACGUGACCCACCAUGCCUGGCGCAAAUAUGUAUUCUUUUAAAAUUUUCUCUGAUACUAUAAGCUUUUUGCAUUUAUCUGAAGCAGUAUAUAUGCCUUUGGUAUCAGCAAUUUUAACAGUUUGGAUAUACUUAUCAGCUAUCUUAUUCCAAAACUACAUCUACUUCUUCCAGUAUAGAAUCUGGUGCUUCCUGACCAAAAAGAUGAGAAAAACAAUGUUAAAAAUAUAGAUGCUUUCCAUUGAAAUGGAGUGAAAACAUUGGUUCUGUAUGUUUUCUUUUAAAGUAAUUUUCUUAUUAAAAACUUGCUGUCUUUAUUAUACUUACCCUUUUUAUGCAUAUCAAUAGUAUUUAUAAAAUGUGUUCUAUAAUUAUGUAAUUGUAGAUACUGUUAUGUAUUGUCCAGUGACAUCAUAAGGCAGGCCCUACUGCUGUAUCUUUUCUACCUUCUUAUUUGUAAUAGAAACUAUAGAAUGUAUGACUAAAAAGUCACUUUGAGAUUGACUUUUUAAAAAAGUUAUUACCUUCUGCUGUUGCAAAGUGCAAAACUGUGAGUGGAAUUGUUUUAUUCUGACUUAAUGUGUUAGGAAUUAGAGAAUACAGUGGGAGGAUUUUUAGACAUUGCUGCUGCUGUUACCCAAGGUAUUUUAGAUAAAAAAAAUUUUAAUAAACAUCCCUUUGGUAUUUAAAGUGGAACAUUUAGCCUGUUCAUUUUAAUCUAAAGCAAAAAGUAAUUUGGGUCAAAAUAUUGGUAUAUUUGUAAAGCGCCUUAAUAUAUCCCUUUGUGGAAGGCACUACACAGUUUACUUUUAUAUUGUAUUGUGUAUAUAAGUAUUUUGUAUUAAAAUUGAAUCAGUGGCAACAUUAAAGUUUUAUAAAAUCAUGCUUUGUUAGAAAAGGAAUUACAGCUUUGCAAUAUAACUAAUUGUUUCGCAUCAUUCUGAAUGUAAUAGAUAUGAAUAAUCAGCCUGUGUUUUUAAUGAACUUAUUU